GGGAUGCAACGCGAGGACUU
rnacentral:snRNA from 1 species